rnacentral:rRNA from 1 species
GACGAACGCUGGCGGCGUGCUUAACACAUGCAAGUCGAACGGAAAGGCCCUGCUUUUGUGGGGUGCUCGAGUGGCGAACGGGUGAGUAACACGUGAGUAACCUGCCCUUGACUUUGGGAUAACUUCAGGAAACUGGGGCUAAUACCGGAUAGGAGCUCCUGCUGCAUGGUGGGGGUUGGAAAGUUUCGGCGGUUGGGGAUGGACUCGCGGCUUAUCAGCUUGUUGGUGGGGUAGUGGCUUACCAAGGCUUUGACGGGUAGCCGGCCUGAGAGGGUGACCGGCCACAUUGGGACUGGGAUACGGCCCAGACUCAUACGGGAGGCAGCAGUGGGGAAUAUUGCGCAAUGGGCGGAAGCCGGAUGCAGCAACGCCGCGUGCGGGAUGACGGCCUUCGGGUUGUAAACCGCUUUCGCCUGUGACGAAGCGUGAGUGACGGUAAUGGGUAAAGAAGCACCGGCUAACUACGU